rnacentral:lncRNA from 1 species
AAAAGUGUUUGUGCUUUUUAGAAAUUUAGCGUAUCAAGGGUUUGUGAGUCUUGAAAUCAGAGAAAAAGUACGCUUGGAGGGCGCUUGGUUCUUGGUUCGCGAGUAGAGAAGAAGUGGACGACUUGAAGGGGUCGAUGACAUUUUUGAGAGAAGCAUAUCCUAACAGUUUUGAAGAGGUCGCAAUGGAUUUGCAGCAAGAUCCACCGAUUGAAGGUUUUGAGAAGGAUCGAAUCAUCGAUUAGAGAUCUGAAGUUCAAUGGAAGAAUGAAUGAAUUGAAGAUAUUAUCAAUUACAGUAGAGAGAUUUUGAGAUUUGGAAGUUGGGAUGAAAGAUUCUUUGAAAUUUUGCGUUGACAAAAAAAUAGGGAGUGAGAAUUUGGGAAAAAAAAUUAGCUGGC